NNNNNNNNNCUGGGGUGCCCGGGUCCCCCGGUAGAGCCGCCGGGCGGCUCCUCGGUGCUGGGCCCUGCGGGGCUGGUGGUGCGACCUGGGCCCGAGGCGGGAGGCUCCUGAUGGGAGGUGCUGGUGAUGGGGCUGGCUGCAGGGCUGUCCUCCCGUCCUCCAGCAGUGUGGCUGACUUGGUGGUCCAGCUCGUGGUGGAUCGUGGGGCCGUACAGGGCUGCAGCGGUGCUGAUGAGCCUUCUGACGAAGGGCACCACGUCGCCGUUGGUGAUGAGCUGCAGCGCCUGCACCAAGGCCUCCUCGUCCAGCCCAUGCUGACACAGAAAGUUGAUGGUGGUGCACUGUCCCGCAUAGACUUCCCACCAGUCAUCGCUGGACACCUGCUGGAUCUCCUCCUGCAGCCAUUGGAGCAGGGGUUCGAGGUCUUCUGGAUGUUCCUUGAAAAAUGCAGCCCAGACCUCGGCUGGGAAGCUGUGCUCAGGUGGGAUGAGCACCGGCUCUGCAGGCCCCUGCUCGUCCUGCAGGCCUUGAUCCGAGUGCGCUGCGGGCUGCGGGACAGCACACUCCAGGUAAUCCUCAUCCGACCUCACCGAGUAUCGGAUGGUUGUUAUUUCGUGCCCGCAUACGGCACAACUCGGCUUCUUGUUUGCCCACCAGAUGGCACAGCCGUAGCACAGCUGGUGUUGGCAGGGGGUCACGUAGGUGACAUCUUCCCGAAUUUGCCCGCAGAUGGGGCAGAUCCAUUCGGAUGCCACGUCCAUGGCCCCGGGCUGUGCGGUGGGCUGGGGAGAGCUGAGGUCGGGAAGCUGCUCCCCUCACUGGUGCUGCAGCAAGCAGAAGGUGUUACGAACUGCAAAAGCGAGAGAGAGGCCGCGGUCACUCGCUGCCCCGGUCCCUCAGCAGCACACCCUCUCGGUCCCUGUUCCUAUUUCCUGUUGGGGAAAUAAAAAUUGCACGUUUCUAUUGCCCAUGUAACUCAUAGCCAACUUGUGAUUAGUUGGUGCCACAAGAUGCCACGAGAAAGCUGGACUGGUUUGGUGAUGCUGUGGGA
rnacentral:lncRNA from 1 species